ACAUGCAAGUCGAACGGUAACAGGUCUUCGGAUGCUGACGAGUGGCGCACGGGUGCGUAACGCGUAUGCAACCUACCUCUAUCAGGGGGAUAGCCCGAAGAAAUUCGGAUUAAUACCCCAUAGUAUCACCAGAUGGCAUCUGAAAGUGAUUAAAGAUUUAUUGGUAAAGGAUGGGCAUGCGUGACAUUAGAUAGUUGGUGAGGUAACGGCUCACCAAGUCUACGAUGUCUAGGGGUUCUGAGAGGAUGAUCCCCCACACUGGUACUGAGACACGGACCAGACUCCUACGGGAGGCAGCAG
rnacentral:rRNA from 1 species